rnacentral:lncRNA from 1 species
UUGGGCUCUUAGUAAACUUACAGGCUUUAUAAAGCGACAAAUAGAUGAUUUAAUGGCUAAACCUAUACAGAUUCAUUAUCAUAGGUUGGCUAUAGAGGAUCAACAAACACAAGACAAAGAUAUUAUCCCACCUCGGGCACUUCCCACUCCCAUCUCCACCCAACCUAAGAAAGGGCAUUUCUGCCCCAGGACCUAAUAAGGGGAGGUGUCCCAGGCCCUCCACCCUCUUGGUGACAAAGUUCCUUCUACCUUUGCUAAGGGAGGUGAGAUGAGACACUACAAGGGGAUGCCUUUGUACAAAGUUCCUGGGCCCCCUGAGAGACAAGCCUGGCUCUUUUGAUGCUCUUUAUAAGAUCCCUAAUUAAUACUUUGCCUGUGGUUACAGGGACCCGUGAUUUUCAACAUGCUCAUGGCAUGUAAGCAACAACCCGAGACCACUCAAGCUAGGCAUAUGCAGGUCCAUUGUCAUCACCAUGAGAUGUAUGAUCGAGGUGUGUGCCUUGCUAUCAACCACCUCCCCCUGUGAGCUGAACUGGACAGUCAAUGACGGGUAAGAGAGCAACAUUCUCUGUGAGGCCUAAGACAGGAGGGCCGCCAUAAGCUGCUGCCUUAUCCAAUGACGGGCCUAGAGACAUAAGAAUGGUUUGCUCCAACCUAAGACAGGCGCAGUUCCUGAGGGGCUCUCUCAUGGCUUAAAGUCCUGCCCGGGACCACCCUGCCUGCUUGUGCCUUCCCUUGCCUGAGCUAAGUGUUGUUUGCCUCAUGGGCCUCUGUAUCCAGACAACAUACGUGAGCGUUAACACCAGCCAAAAAUACCAGAAGUCAGGCCUCUAUCCCUACCUUAGCAAAAAGAAAGAAAAAAGAAAAAUUGUUACCACCAUGGUCCUUCUAAGUAAAGAAAAAGGGGGAGAUGUUGGGAGCAGCCUCGAGAUGGUGAAAGCAGCCUUCAAGUUAAAAAGCAAUUGUGUUCUAGCCUUAUGCUAGAAUAAUAAGCAAUAAUCUUCAGGUUAAAAGCAAUUAUAUUUUAGCCUUAUGAUAGAACAAAAAGCAAUAGCCUUAGGUUAGAUCAAAACAGCACCUGCAGCUCUACAUAAAUUCAAUAGAUAGCAUGAAUCUAGGUGUCAGAUCACUGAGUACCGGUGGUCAGGCACUGAUGGUCAGGUCACUAAGCAACCCACCCUGCUGUUCCCCCGGUUGGCCGAUUUACCCAGCCAAUAUCCUGGUUAUCAAGCCAGGCCCAUUCUUUGUGGUCACCCAACCCCUCCCCACAUUUUGCUUCUACCAGUAUAUCUUCAGCCUGAGAAAAAUUAAAAAUUGUCAGCUUGAUCAG